rnacentral:rRNA from 1 species
UACGUAGGUGGCAAGCGUUGUCCGGAUUUACUGGGUGUAAAGGGCGUGUAGGCGGGAUAGUAAGUCAGAUGUGAAAUACCGGGGCUUAACUCCGGGGCUGCAUUUGAAACUGCCAUUCUUGAGUGCUGGAGAGGGAAGCGGAAUUCCUAGUGUAGCGGUGAAAUGCAUAGAUAUUAGGAGGAACACCAGUGGCGAAGGCGGCUUUCUGGACAGUAACUGACGCUGAGGCGCGAAAGCGUGGGGAGCAAAC